GGGAGUGUUCCCGAGUGGCCAAAGGGGGCAGACUGUAAAUCUGUUGCGAAAGCUUCGAUGGUUCAAAUCCGUCCACUCCCA
rnacentral:tRNA from 1 species